rnacentral:ncRNA from 12 species
CCCGCCCGGGUCCGUGGUUGCGUCGGGGCCGCCGAACUCUUGGUGGCUUCCCGGCAAGCCGAUGCCAGCCGCAGGCGAAACGGCCCACGUAAGGCGACUCCUCGUCGACCGAUCACGGUGCGGCUUAGACGUAAGUCCUGCCUCGGUGGACGGGUCCGAUGCCCGUCGCUCCGGGAGAAGGGGAGUAGUGGCGCGGAUCACCAUGAGGGCCGCGAAACCCUCCGCAGGCGGAUGUGGGGACGAAGACCAGGUCGGCCGGGCGGG